GACGAACGCUGGCGGCGUGCUUAACACAUGCAAGUCGAACGGAAAGGCACUGCUUUUGUGGGGUGCUCGAGUGGCGAACGGGUGAGUAACACGUGAGUAACCUGCCCUUGACUUUGGGAUAACUUCAGGAAACUGGGGCUAAUAUCGGAUAGGAGCUCCUGCUGCAUGGUGGGGGUUGGAAAGUUUCGGCGGUAGGGGAUGGACUCGCGGCUUAUCAGCUUGUUGGUGGGGUAGUGGCUUACCAAGGCUUUGACGGGUAGCCGGCCUGGGAGGGUGACCGGCCACAUUGGGACUGAGAUACGGCCCAGACUCCUACGGGAGGCAACGGUGGGGAAUCUUACACAAUGGGCGGAAGCCUGAUGCAGCAACGCCGCGUGCGGGAUGCCGGCUUUCUGGUUGUAAACCGCUUUCGCCUGUGACGAAGCGUGAGUGACGGUAAUGGGUAAAGAAGCACCGGCUAACUACGUG
rnacentral:rRNA from 1 species